rnacentral:rRNA from 1 species
CCUACGGGAGGCUGCAGUAGGGAAUCUUCCACAAUGGGCGAAAGCCUGAUGGAGCAACGCCGCGUGGGUGAAGAAGGUCUUCGGAUCGUAAAACACUGUUGUUAGAGAAGAAAGUGCGUGAGAGUAACUGUUCACGUUUCGACGGUAUCUAACCAGAAAGCCACGGCUAACUACGUGCCAGCAGCCGCGGUAAUACGUAGGUGGCAAGCGUUAUCCGGAUUUAUUGGGCGUAAAGGGAACGCAGGCGGUCUUUUAAGUCUGAUGUGAAAGCCUUCGGCUUAACCGGAGUAGUGCAUUGGAAAAUGGGAGACUUGAGUGCAGAAGAGGAGAGUGGAACUCCAUGUGUAGCGGUGAAAUGCGUAGAUAUAUGGAAGAACACCAGUGGCGAAAGCGGCUCUCUGGUCUGUAACUGACGCUGAGGUUCGAAAGCGUGGGUAGCAAACAGGAUUAGAUACCCGAGUAGUC